CAAAAAAAAAAAAAAAUCAAUAUUUAUUGCAUUUGUAGUAUAUGAUUCUAUUUGAUCUUUUUUACCUAACCUGAUAUAUGUAAUUGUGCAUUUAAAUGUCAUUGCCUCAUUGAACGUAUAAACAUACCACAUUACAUCCACAUUUGAUGGAUGUUGCCCCAAGUGAGGUUGAUAUAAGGGAUAGGCUAUACUUCACAAUAACACUCCAAAGGUUAGGAAAGAAUUGGCACAAUUAGAAGGUAGGGCUAAAUUUACAGGAGUGCUAAAUAUUUUAUUUUUUUUGAAACAUUUGGCCUAACAUAAGUAAGGAGGUUUGAAGUUUAAAUAAGGACGCUAGCAAAUUUAUAAAAGCAAGAUAACUCCAGCACAAAAAAAAAAAAAAAUACGAGGGCAGAUUCCGAAAAGAGUAAUUAACACCAACAUAACAAGGUCUACAUUUAGGACGUUACCAAGAAUGAGCUUCUUAUUUCCUU
rnacentral:misc_RNA from 1 species